GCGGAAGUAGCUCAGUUGGUAGAGCACAACCUUGCCAAGGUUGGGGUCGCGGGUUCGAAUCCCGUCUUCCGCU
rfam:Porphyromonas macacae strain COT-192_OH2859 contig_9, whole genome shotgun sequence.